UACGUAGGGGGCAAGCGUUGUCCGGAUUCAUUGGGCGUAAAGAGCGUGUAGGCGGCCAGGUAGGUCGGUUGUGAAAACUGGAGGCUCAACCUUCAGAGGUCGACCGAAACCAUCUGGCUAGAGUCCGGGAGAGGAGAGUGGAAUUCCUGGUGUAGCAGUGAAAUGCGUAGAUAUCAGGAGGAAUACCGAUGGCGAAGGCAGGUCUCUGGGCUGACACUGACGUCAUGCACAA
rnacentral:rRNA from 1 species